CAGCCGCCGGGUAAUACAGAGGGUGCGAGCGUUAAUCGGAUUUACUGGGCGUAAAGCGUGCGUAGGCGGCUUUUUAAGUCGGAUGUGAAAUCCCUGAGCUUAACUUAGGAAUUGCAUUCGAUACUGGGAAGCUAGAGUAUGGGAGAGGAUGGUAGAAUUCCAGGUGUAGCGGUGAAAUGCGUAGAGAUCUGGAGGAAUACCGAUGGCGAAGGCAGCCAUCUGGCCUAAUACUGACGCUGAGGUACGAAAGCAUGGGGAGCAAACAGGAUUAGAUACCCCAGUAGUCCCUGUCUCUUAUACC
rnacentral:rRNA from 1 species